CAAAGGUAGUUUGUCAGGAAACAAACUUUUCUGUCUUUAAAAUCCUACAUGCUUAAUCUUUCAAGCUUCUUUAGUUCCUGAGAUCCCGACGUUCAUACGGACGGACAGACACGGGCUUGGUCAGAUCGACUCGGUUAGUGAUUCUGACCUAGAAUAUACAUAUAUACUUUAUAGGGUCGGUAACGCUUCCUUCUACCAUUCAAUAUAUUUUUUAACGAAUUUAGUAUACCCUUUUACUCUACGAGCAACUGGUAAUAAAAAUGCACUAUAACUUCUAUGUUUCUUGUUUCAUAAAAUUUUGUCAGAAACUACAUUGGCAUAUAAAAACCCCAUAUACGUCUGGAUUAUCAUUGACCAUUGAUCAUUGAACUACAAACUCAUUAAUAAAGUCAGCGGCGGCAAAGCCCAUGGUGGUUCUGGUAAAAAAAAAACGUAUAAAACGAAAUCAUCUUGUAAUGUACUAAGCAAGCCAGCUACAGCGAUGGGCAUUAUUACAAUCUGUGCCGAUUUUGUGUCUGACUUAGAGAGUCUGACUUAUCAUCUAACUUACUUAUCAUCGUACUUCUUUGAUCACCCUCAGCUGGCUAAAUCCAACCAGUUCCUAACAUCAAAUGGAACGAAUUAGUCUUCUUUCUUGUACAGGUGGCUUUUAAGACGGAUCGGACCACUAAAUCAUAUAAAUCGAGUUCCCCGACUAUCAGAUACCCGCUACUCAGCUAAUCGAAGUGCGAACGAGAAAUGCAGACAUUUUCUAGAAAUU